rnacentral:lncRNA from 10 species
AGAGUGUGCCAACAGCUUAGAUAUAGAGUGUGAGAGAGAAGAGUGGAGGCUGGUUCUCAGGCUCCAGAAGCAUAAGCCUGCAUGGAGCAUAGCGUCACUGAGCAAGACAGGUGUGGAGGAUGAGAAGCGGGCCACAGGAUGGGAAGGGAAUCUGUGUGGAGGCGGUGCCCUAAACAUGCUGCCUUGAGGAGGGACCUCUACAUGGGGUGGCCGGGCACAGCCAGUUGCACAGGGUACCUCAGACCCACAUCCCAGAUGACAUUCCUCAGAAGCUCGCAGCUGGAGAUGACAUCACCUUAGACAACAUCACCCUAGCCCAAGACAUCGCUAUUAGAGAUACAUCACCUGGACACUAAAGCCUCCAACCCAGUGACACUCUCAAGGUGCUGACAAAAUGGACAUGGACAUUUGUUGCUUUUCUUCUUUUGAAUUAGGAACUCUAUUGUGUUUCCUGAAUUUACUGUCUGCUUGGCCCAUGAUCCUGGUAUGUUCCUUGCUCUCUGCCAAAACAUGCACCGUCCCCUCCACACCUAAAGGAAAACCUGGUAGAAGCUACUACUCUCAAUGCCAUUCUAAAAUUGACGAAGAGUAUUAUUUUCCCCAAGAGGCAGCUGCUGCAGGCCAGUGAAUCCUCUGGACCCUGGGGAGAGGGUCAUACACUCCCUAGUGACUUCUACUGUAUGCUCCAGCUUUCCACCAGGACCUCCUGCCCUGUCCCCAACUGUAACGACCACAACCACCCCAUCCCCUUGGUUACACACAAAUAUCACCAGUCUUUACAUGUACUUUACUGACUUCUCAGAUAAUACCCUCCAACAAGAUAACUGCAGGACUUGCCACCAUGACCUGAGAAAUACACCAAGAUAUUAUUGUCCAAUUUUUUUGAGAUAUAUAUAUAUUUCUCAUACUUUUAACAUACUCUGCAAUCCACCAAGAUAUUGGUAGAGACCCUGGAAAUUUCAAAUCUAUUUCGUCUGCUAAUGCCAUGUGAAUGGGAAACUUAGAUACAGGCUGGCCUACAAGGACUCCUUAUACUUCAAUUUUUGUUCCUCCUUUCAACUCUCAUAAAAAAUAUUUUCUGUACUAUUUAGGGCAAAUGAUGGCCUUCUUUCUAAGUCUCAUCCAUCAUUGCUGCAAAGGUGCCUUAGUUUGAUGUUAAAGUGUCACAGGGCCAAUGUAUUGACCAUGUUUCUGGCGUCUAUAAAGUCGAUGUUUUAAUAUCUGUC